rnacentral:rRNA from 1 species
AGGACGAACGCUGGCGGCGUGCUUAACACAUGCAAGUCGAGCGGAAAGGCCCUUCGGGGUACUCGAGCGGCGAACGGGUGAGUAACACGUGAGCAAUCUGCCCUUAGCUUCGGGAUAGCUCCGGGAAACCGGAAUUAAUACCGGAUAUGACUAUGGCUGACAUCAGCCACGGUGGAAAGUUUUUUCGGCUAGGGAUGAGCUCGCGGCCUAUCAGCUAGUUGGUGGGGUAACGCCUACCAAGGCGACG